UACGUAGGGAGCAAGCGUUGUUCGGAUUUACUGGGCGUAAAGGGCGCGUAGGCGGCAAAUCAAGUCAGCUGUGAAAUCUCUGAGCUUAACUCAGAACGGUCAGCUGAUACUGCUUUGCUAGAGUGCGGAAGGGGCAAUCGGAAUUCUUGGUGUAGCGGUGAAAUGCGUAGAUAUCGGGAGGAACACCUGUGGCGAAAGCGGCUUACUAGACGACAACUGACGCUGAGGCGCGAAAGCUAGGGGAGCAAACAGG
rnacentral:rRNA from 1 species